rnacentral:rRNA from 1 species
AUGUCAUGGAUUGUGGAGUCCCUUUCUUAUAAAUUUCCUGAGCUUCAUUCCUUUGCUAUAAAUGAUCUAGUCUCUGUAGCCAGUGUUGCCUCUGCAGAUAGUCUGUUUGAUCUUUUCCACAACCCAUUGUCAGUACAAGCAUAUAGCCAACUCAAUGAGCUUCAGACAGUUAUGCCAGAUAUUUCUAGCUCAGCUAAGGACUGUUGGAUUAGCAAUGGUUCUGAUUUGAGGUACUCCUCUAUUCAAAUGUACUCUGCUUUGAUGGGAACAAACAAAUCACACCUUUUGUUUCAAAAUAUGUGA